UGUCGACUGUUAAACAACUGAAAAUCAGCAGUAUGAGCUUGGCCCGAAUGGCGUAGCUCCUUUUUCGGACAGCUAAUCAAAAUUUUCUAGUUAUAUUAUCAAAUACUCUUUCAUUACCCUGAAAAGCAAAUCAAAACACGUAUCAUCAUGAGUUGUUGUUCACCAUGUUGUGGGCCAUGCUGCCCCUGCCCAUUUGUGCGCGGCUGCCCUUGUACACCAGCAGAAAUCCGAGGCGGUGUUCUGCUGCCAUGCAGGUGUCGUCGCCGUUAUGGACUGCAACAUGAAUGCCCAAAGCAUGGUGUAGAUUCUCCAUCACGGGGCUUGUGUUACCUGCGUAACAAGAAUUGUUGAGAAAAUACAGCAUAUAUUCCAGUUUGUACCACUUGCAGUCCUUGGUGCCUAUAAAAUGUAUUAAAAGUUAUCUGUUUAUUAAAGAGAAAUGAAACCUA